UGUGUGUGUGUGUGUGUGUGUGUGUGUGUGUGUGUGUGUGUGUGUGUGUGUGCAGGCCAGGGGGGCGGGGGCGUGGAAGCGUGUGGCAACCCAGGGCGGGGCCGCAGGUGAGCGUGUCCCGCGGCUGGCCGGCUCACUCCACCGCCGACCACUCUGGCGGUCGCCGCCGCGCCGCCACCACCGCCGCCAGCCCGGGCAGUGCCGAGGCCCCGCCCGCACCGCUCCACGCCGCCCCCACACGCCCACGCCGCGCCCACCAGCGGUCACCCACGCCCCUGGAGGUGCGUCGCGCGGAGGAGGCAGCCAAGGCCCGCCAGGUGCAGUUCUCCACACUUCACCACUUCACCAGCACCACCGCAGUCUAUCUGCACCACAAACUGCACCACCUCCCCGCACCACUAGUCCCCCGCACUCCACCUUCACCACCACCACCACCUCCAACCCUCUAGCUUAGUUGAGGACGGAGACAGAGCAGCGGCCAGGCAGGCCUCGCCACGCUCCGCCGUCCCGACGCCCCCGCUGCGCCCUGGCGUCGCGGCGCCCCUCGGUGCUGUCUCCCUCGGAGGUCCCCACACUGGUCCCGUCCCGCUCUCUCAGUGACACACGGCUGCCGCGCUGGACUCGCGCGUGACGCAGCUUUCAAUGUUUCAGCCCAAAAUUCAAUCCGUUUAGUGUGCAUUGCGGCAAGACCUCAGGCCCGCGGGUAAAUAUUUGUAGAUGGUCUGUUUACAGGGAGUGUAGUGGCGGGCCGGGUGGCGGGGCGGGGCGGGAGUGGACGGGUUGGGGUGUCUGCCGUAGUGGCGCCGCCCGUCCGCCCUCCUGGUCCAGCAGCCGCCUCGCCAGCGGCUCUGCGGCACGAUAUCGCGUGCUCCGCCGACACCUGCUCGAGUUUUGUGACAGUAAGGAUUGAUUUAUGGAUCCCUGGCCAGCCGAGGCGGAGCCGUGGCACGAGGCGGGAGGCGCCGCUCACUCCUCGCCGCCAAACUUCUUGCCAUUGGCGCCUGCCGCUGCCUUGCCAUGCACCGGGCUGCCGGGGGGCGGCAGGCGGCGGGGGCGCUCCAAUGCCGCCGCCUGACCUAGUUUCGGAAAGUUCACACAGUGAGGUCAGAGUCGCCUUGAGCCACGUGUUCGCGCAUCACUCUGCGGGAGGCGCCAGGCGUGUGUGCCGCCUCGCCCCGCCGCGCCGUGCCGCCCCGCGUCUCACCAGUGCCUGGGGCGUCAUGCUGCCCCGCACCGCACCGCCCGCAGGUGUGCAAGUGUGAAGGGUGUCACGCGGGCUGCUGCUGCUGCUGCUGCUGAGGGGAUCAAUGCUGGCCGCCCACCGAGACCUGGGCCCCGUAACCACUGGACUGAGUAAUGACCUCCCCGACUUCCCCGCCUCACCGUCCACCGCCCCGCCGCGCCGCUCCUGUCGGGGUGUCUCCUGGCGGCUCAUGUAAGUGUUAGUGAAGUGUUUUGUUUGUGUAUUCUGGUGCGUGUCUGUGGAUCCUGAUGUGUCUUUUUGUGUUUCUCGGGUAUUCGUGUUGGGUUUAAGUUGGUGGUGGUGUUGGUGGUGGUGGUAGCGGUGGUAGUGGUGCUACUACUACUACUACUACUACUACUACUACUACUACUACUACUACUACUACUACCACCACCACCAUUAGAAAUCCACUAUAAAAAUUACUGUCCUUAUCUUCAUUAUCAUUACUAUUAUGACAACUGUUACUUUCAUCAUUAUUAUCACCAUCACCACCAUUAUUUAUUCACCACUGAGAUUGUACAGCAUUCUUACAUACUCUAACAUCACCCACCACUACCACCACCACCACCACCACCACCAGAAGUACAGGGGCCAACAAACUACAUAGCUACAGCCAAGGCCCGUAUUCAGAAACGUCUUGCUUUCUCACCACGACUAUUUUCAAAGGUCACAGAUGAUGAGCCGGGUUCUUAAGGGUGUUUCUCCUGUUAAUAACGUAGAAAUGGUGUUAAUCUGUCACUAGAGCCAUAAAAACACCCUCAAAAACCCCACGUAGCUUCAACUGGUGGAGUCUUGAAUGUAGUGUAGGUGCGGCGCUGAAGUGCUUGAGAAUACGGUCCCAAGAGUCUCGCCUCGCCCUGGCUUUCCCUCACCUGCUGUUUACCCGCCUUGCUUCACCGUCAAACAUUUCCUUAUUGCGUCUCACUCAGUCUCUAUAAACAUUCUGCCUUGCCGCGCGUCACCUCGGCACGCCCCUGCCACGUCAAAAUUCACCCAAGCCAAAACAGACAGGUAAACGCGGCCACACUCUUUAACUAACUUUCCCGCCUCAAUCCACACCUGUUCUGAAAAAAAAAUAAAAAUAAAAGCUCGUUUUCUUUUGACGCUUCGGGCACUCCCUGGAAAUUCAUCUGCCUGCCUGCCUGCUGCUGUAUUCCUCCCUACCUCUGACUUAAACUCUUACAAAAGGGAGGUUUUAACACACUUUUCUAAUUCUGGAUCCUUCUGGCUGUACUAUUUGGGGACUGGCAUCUUCAGUGGGCUUUUUUUUUCUGCCCUUUCGUAUCCUUUGCCCAGAGUCUGUUGUACAUAAAAAAAAAUAAAUAAAUAAACAUCAAUAAAAAUAUCAGAGGCACAGCACAUGUACGUGACUUUAGGGACAGGUAGAGGUGAGGCAGAGUUGGUGUGGGUGUGGGUGUGUCAGGAGGAGCGGCGACGAGUGUGUGGGGAGGAGGAUGCUGGAGAUGGAUGUACCAGACAGCAGACACAGAGGGAGGCCUUGGUGAAUGCUUGUAACGAAAGUGACUGAGGUGGUCUGGCACGUCAGGAGGAAGGAUAAGGAGUACGUCUGGAGGAGAGUGAGGGUGGAGGAUCUACCCGGCAAGAGAAAGAGAAGGAAACGUAAGAGAAGGUUUAUGCAUGCAGUGAAAGAAGACCUGCUUGUAAAGGGUGUGACUGAGGGAGGCGCAGAGAACCGACGGAGUUGAAAGCUGUUCCGCCGUGGCGACUCAAACAACUCUUAUUACGAUCAGGUUCCAAGGUCACUCGGUUGAUGUAGAAUCCUCGUUAAACUAUCAGUCAAUCACGAAAGCAUUCCUAAGAGAUUCAAUAACCCCGAUGAUGCAGAAUUCCUUUUAUACACUCACUAGAAUCAAGAAAACACCCUUGAAAACACUGACAACUUCCACUACUUUCUAUUAAACUCACAGGAACCACGAAAACACCCUUAAAAACCCCAAAUAACUCAAAACCCCUUCAAACAACCACUUGAAAUCAUAAGAAAAACACUAAAAAACCUCUGCAAUCGUAAAAAACACACUUGAAAACACUGGAUCCCUUUCAAAACUCAAAAUAAGGAAUCGAAACCCUUCAAGACAGAGCAAAGCGGUUGGAGUCCUCUUGGCGGCGGUCCUCGGGUUGCCGUGAUCACCACAUCAGAUCCAAUCGUCUUAAGAGAGCUUCCGCUAUUUAGGAUCUGAUAGUCCCAAGUCACGAACCCUAGGGGAGGAAAUGAGGGAAGGGAAGGAGAGAUACGAGGAAGGAAGGAUCGGGACGGAGAGUGGUGGGGAGGGAGGAAGGAGGGGGAGAGAGGAAGAGUGGAAAAGGCCAGGUAAGGAAAUAGGGGUGAGAGAGAGAAGUGGGAAGGAAAAGCAAGGAGAAAAGGAUACAAAUAAAAAAAUACGAGAAAAGAAAAGGAGGGAAAGAUGAAGGAGAAAAGGAUAAAUAAAAAAAAAUACGAGAAAGGAAGAGGAGGGAAAGAGGAAGAGAGAGAAAGGAAAGGUACAAACGAUAGAACAUAUGUAGAGAUAGAGGAGAGGGGGAGAGAAAAAAGGAAGGAUGAAAAGGAAAGACAGAAUAAAGAUAGAAAUAAAGAUAGAAAAGAAAGAGACACGAGAAAGGAAAGGAAGGAAGGGAGAAAGAGGGAAGAGAAGGAGAGGGAAGGACCAAGUAAGGAUGACAAGACAAAAGGAUAGGGGAGAGAAAAAGGAAGUAGAAAGGAAAGAGAAAGAUAGACAUAAGGAAAAGAGAAAGAGAUACGAGAAAAGAAAGGAGUAAUCGGGAGACAGAGACAGAGAGAGAGAGAGAGAGAGAGAGAGAGAGAGAGAGAGAGAGAGAGAGAGAGAGAGAGAGAGAGAGAGAGGAAACGGAAGAGAAAAGGGAAGGGGCGAAAGAAAAGGAAGGAGAGAAAGAUAGAAAUACGAGAUGAGAAGCAAGAAUAGGAGGAAGUGAAGAGAAAAGGAGCAAGGAGGAGGGAAUUAGAGAUAAGAGAGAGAGAAGAAGGGAGCAGAGAAGAGGGGAGAGAGAAGUGACAGAAGAGAGGAAAUGAAUGGGGGAGAGAUGAAGACGGAAAGAGGCAAUGAAAGAGGAUGAAAGAGAGUGAGAGGAAGGAAGGAAAACAAUAAAUGGAAGAAAGAAAAAAAGGAAACAGGAAAAAAAACAAGAAUGAGAGAGAGAGAGAGAGAGAGAGAGAGAGAGAGAGAGAGAGAGAGAGAGAGAGAGAGAGAGAGAGAGAGAGAGAGAGAGACGAGGAAACAAAGAUAAGAGGAAAAGAGAGGAAAAGAAGGAAUUAGGAGAAGAAAACGUGGAAAUGAAUAAAAGAAGAGGAAAGAAGGGAAAGAAGAAAUUAAGGAGAGAGAAACGAGAAAACAAAGACGAGAAGAAGAAGAAGAAGAAGAAGAAGAAGAAGAAGAAGAAGAAGAAGAAGAAGAAGAAGGGGGAAAAGAGAGAAAAAGAAAAAAAAGAAUUUGGGAGAGAAAAAGAGGAAACAAAAAUAAGAGCAAAGAGGAAAGAGGAACAUUUAUUAGUGAACAAAAAAAAAUCCAUAAAAAAAUAAUAAAACAAACUGAAAAUAAAAAAAUAAGAGGAAAAACAGGAAAAAUUACAACAGGAAAGAGGGAAGAGGAAAAACAGAGCAAGAAGACGAUUAAAACUGCAAAGUGGCUCUGCAAACUGACAUUCAAGAGGAACAAAAUAACAAGGAAACAAAAAUUCGAAUUCAGGAAGGAAAAAUGGGAAAACGAGAGAAAAAAACGAGCAAGAACAAAGAGGAAAACAUAGAUGAAGAGGAAAGACAACAAAAAUUAGCAACAAACAACAGAAAAAGAAGGAAAUUAUGAGAGAAAACACGAAAAAAAAUAAGAAGAGGAAAGAGGGAAAACCAGAGGAAGAAGAAAGAC